AUAGACAACAUGUUAUUGGAAGAAGAGAUGGAUAUUUUUCUGACUAAAAAAGACCUUAUUUUUUAAGAGGUUUCCAUCUCUAAUUUCAUUUGAAGAAGACAGCAUUUAAGUGAUUAGCAUAUGCUGAAUAAUUUGUGGCAAUGGAGAUUAAUAUUGAUCCUUAUCUUGUUUUGAAGCAGGAUAAUUCUGGUCUCCCUGGCCCCUUCCACCAUAUGAGGAUACAGUAAGAAGUCUGUGGUCUGGAAGAGAACCCUCACCUGACCAAGUUGGUACCCUGAUCUUGAACUUGCAUCCUCCAGAACUGUGAGAAAUAAAUUCCUGCUGUUUACUAGCCA